rnacentral:lncRNA from 1 species
AAAAUGGAUUUGAAAUGAAAAACUUGUUCUUGUUUGGGAAGCAGGCUGGGGAAAACUUCAGAUGAAAUUGGAACUUGAGGCAGCACAGAAGCACCAAUGCCAGAAAGAAUAAUUGGAUCUCCAACUGGAAAUAUUUACAUAACAUCUGUACCCUUCUGUUGGAGCACAUUUUUGAAAGCAACUUCACCAACUAAAUUUAUAUAGUAGGUUACCUGUAAUGGGAAGAUCAUAUGAAGAGUAAAUUUAGACAUUUGGCAUGAUUACUAAGAUCCGUUGUAUUUAACCAAUUAUGCCAUGCAUAAUAUGACUUAAAAAUUUCAUGCAACAUUCAUUUUGAUGUGCCGAGAAUAAAUAUAUAUAAAAAACAAUUUGGAAUAAGAGCAAUGAGGCAAUAAAUAUCCAAAUCCAUCAACUUUUGAUAAAAAAAAUCACAGAUGAUAACCGCACAGUUUGUUACCCACAAUUUGCAUUGAGCUGACUCGGUGAAGAAGGAAUCCAUUAGCCAAUUCUCUAGCAGGAUUCAAAUAUAAAGGAACGAUUCAUGAGUUUUGGUCACAGAUGUUGAGUAAAGCACAAAAACUGGGACUGAGUGAAUAUUUACCUGCUAUAGUGAGAGUUUCCAUUUAGAAAAAUUGAAUAAGGCUCUUUCUCAACUAGGCCAGGGUUCCCUAUGUAAGCAACACUACCAUCAUUGCCAUGGUUAGUGCAAUCCUGUCCACUCAGGUAUACAUUCUGAGGUGUAAAUACAAGGAUGAAUGUCAUAUCAGAGUCAGUGUAGUUAACAUGUCAAAACUUUAGCAUUUGAAAAUUUUCCAAACAUAAUAGCUGCUUUGCACUUACUACUGCAAAUUUCAGAAACAUACGGUGAAAAUACUCAAAAACUUGCUUCUUCUUCAUUUGCUCCUUAUUAUUCUCUCCACAGAUGAUAAGUGGUUGGUAUCCAACAACAAUGCGCCUGAAGUUACCAAAGAGACAAAGUGUUUAUCAAAAACUGGAAUUAUUUGUAUUGUCACAUGAACUUGAAAUAAUGCAGGUUGUUGAGAAAUCAUCAUGUUUUUAGCAUAAUCCUGUCAGAUUUUGAAAAAAUUGGGUUGGAAAAGGAAGUUACCAAAAAUAAAAAAAUAAAAAGACACCAGGAUCCCAACUUGGCAGCAAUUUGUGAACUGUAAGCACAUGGUUAAGAGCAAUAUCUCAGCAGCAGGUCGAAUAAUAUAACAAUUAUAUCCAAAAUGGAUGAUUAAAACCCUGUUUGUUAGAUGAUCAAUGAAUGGAAGAAAGAAAAGAAUCUCCAAAUGACUAGAGAAACCUUUUAUUUUUUCCACCCAUACACCUCUACCAAACAUUGCCUUACAAUUUACAAACCACUGAAGUACUGGUGUGUCACUGCAUGGUUCUAAGAAACAAUACAAGAUGGGAGGAUAAUUCUAAGUAAGAAAAUAAAGGAUUUUUUGAGAAGCUAAGGUAUUUGGAACAAGCUAGUAUGGACAGUAAUAUACAAGCCGCAUAUGGAAGAAGUGUGUAGCUUCCACAACCCUAAUUUUCCUUCUCCUAAUCUAACUAUAUAUAGUGGCCAAAGAUUGACUUUUGAUUCUAUGACAAUUCUACCCUUGCAUUGUGUUGAAGACCAUGGGUGAGGAUGAGUGGCUUUUUAGUCAUUUAGAGAAAUGGGUAUAUCUACCGACAUCAACAAACUUACUAUAAAUUUGCCGUCAAGAUUGUAAUUAAAGCAUCAGCAUCUAUUUUUUCAUAAUUAAUUAUAAAAUUCAGAAGUUACUCACCUAACAUUUUCUCAAGAACUGAUUCGGACGGGAUAAUUGUAGAAGAAUUUCCAACAAUGUAAUUAUUAAAACAUUGUUACACAAGGAGAUGAAGUGACACAGUUAUUUUAAUUUCUGCAAGAUCUAAAUCUAACAAAUCUAAACACCCAUUAAAUUAUUUCACACAUUUUUAUUUUAUAUUAAUAUAUUUUAAAGUAAUGAAUUACUUACUAAUUGACUAAUUUAGUACACUGAUUGCAAGAGCCAACUCUUAUCUUUGAUCUUGUACUUUCUAGUUACAAGUGGCUGCAACUUUCUUUUGUGAAAAUUUUCUGGACAGAGAGCUGUGUAUUUGCAUAAGACAAUUAAGAUACCUUCUCAAGAUAAUAACAAUACUAGGAGGGCAUAAACUACAGAUGUUGCUGCUGGAUAUGAAUCUUAAACAUAUUCAAGUUCUUAAACAUUACAAUACAUUCCAAAAUAUAGACUAGUUGUCAAAAAAUGGAUUUGAAAUGGAAAACUUGGUUCUUGUUUGGGAACCAGGCUGGGGGAAACUUCAGAUGAAAUUGGAACUUGAGGCAGCACAGAAGCACCCAUGCCAGAAAGAACAAUUGGAUCUCCAACUGGAAAUAUUUACAUGACAUCUGUACCCUUCUGUUGGAGCACAGUUUUGAAAGCAACUUCACCAGCUAAAUUUAUAUAGUAUGUUACCUGUAAUGGGAAGAUAUAUUAGUUGUGCUGCAGAGUAAAUUUAGACAUUUGGCAUGAUUUCUAAGAUCCAGUGUAUUUAACCAAUUAUGCCAUGCAUAAUAUGACUUAAAAAUUUC